UACGUAGGGUGCGAGCGUUGUCCGGAAUUACUGGGCGUAAAGAGCUUGUAGGUGGUUUGUCGCGUUGUUCGUGAAAUCUCACGGCUUAACUGUGAGCGUGCGGGCGAUACGGGCAGACUAGAGUACUGCAGGGGAGACUGGAAUUCCUGGUGUAGCGGUGGAAUGCGCAGAUAUCAGGAGGAACACCGGUGGCGAAGGCGGUUCUCUGGGCAUUACCUGACGCUGAGGAGCGAAAGUGUGGGGAGCGAACAGG
rnacentral:rRNA from 1 species